AACCCUGGCCACAUUGACCCCACCACAGGCAACACCUCCAAGAAGGCCACAGAACUCUGCCAAAUUCCCCCACACCACGACGGACAGCACCUACUCGGCAAACUAACGACCUAAUCAUCAACCAAGAACCUUCUCCAAAGGCUACCACCUUACCAGCACACUGCUGCACUCCACUACAUCAGAGCUGGAUGCUAGCACCCACGUCCAUGUGCUACUAGCAUGACGCACAAACAAUUGGAUCCAUGUGCUGCAUGCCAACCUCUUGCCUCUAACUACCCUGCUGCUCUCUCUCCCUCCCCCACAGCUCCUCACCUCAUGUAUCUUCCCUCUUCAAUAAACUCUACCAAACCUG